AUUGAACGCUGGCGGCAUGCCUUACACAUGCAAGUCGAACGGCAGCACGGGUGCUUGCACCUGGUGGCGAGUGGCGAACGGGUGAGUAAUACAUCGGAACAUGUCCUGUAGUGGGGGUAGGCCGGCGGAAACCGGGAUUAUUACCCCUAACGACCACGGAAGAAAGCCGGGGGCCCUCCGGCCCCGGCCCUUUGGGUUUGGCGGAUGGCUGAUUAGCUAGUUGGUGGGGUAAAGGCCUACCAAGGCGACGAUCAGUAGCUGGUCUGAGAGGACGACCAGCCACACUGGGACUGAGACACGGCCCAGACUCCUACGGGAGGCAGCAGUGGGGAAUUUUGGACAAUGGGCGAAAGCCUGAUCCAGCAAUGCCGCGUGUGUGAAGAAGGCCUUCGGGUUGUAAAGCACUUUUGUCCGGAAAGAAAUCCUUGACUCUAAUACAGUCGGGGGAUGACGGUACCGGAAGAAUAAGCACCGGCUAACUACGUG
rnacentral:rRNA from 1 species